GACGAACGCUGGCGGCGUGCCUAAUACAUGCAAGUCGAGCGAAUCUAGAGGUGCUUGCACCUCUAGAUUAGCGGCGGACGGGUGAGUAACACGUGGGCAACCUGCCUGUAAGACUGGGAUAACUUCGGGAAACCGGAGCUAAUACCGGAUAAUCCUUUUCCUCUCAUGAGGAAAAGUUGAAAGUCGGUUUACGCUGUCACUUACAGAUGGGCCCGCGGCGCAUUAGCUAGUUGGUGAGGUAACGGCUCACCAAGGCGACGAUGCGUAGCCGACCUGAGAGGGUGAUCGGCCACACUGGGACUGAGACACGGCCCAGACUCCUACGGGAGGCAGCAGUAGGGAAUCUUCCGCAAUGGACGAAAGUCUGACGGAGCAACGCCGCGUGAGUGAUGAAGGUUUUCGGAUCGUAAAACUCUGUUGUUAGGGAAGAACAAGUACGAGAGUAACUGCUCGUACCUUGACGGUACCUAACCAGAAAGCCACGGCUAACUACGUGCCAGCCGCCGCUGUAAAAC
rnacentral:rRNA from 1 species